rnacentral:rRNA from 1 species
GAUGAACGCUGGCGGCGUGCCUAAUACAUGCAAGUCGAGCGAACGGACGAGAAGCUUGCUUUUCUGAUGUUAGCGGCGGACGGGUGAGUAACACGUGGAUAACCUACCUAUAAGACUGGGAUAACUUCGGGAAACCGGAGCUAAUACCGGAUAAUAUUUUGAACCGCAUGGUUCAAAAGUGAAAGACGGUCUUGCUGUCACUUAUAGAUGGAUCCGCGCUGCAUUAGUUAGUUGGUAAGGUAACGGCUUACCAAGGCAACGAUGCAUAGCCGACCUGAGAGGGUGAUCGGCCACACUGGAACUGAGACACGGUCCAGACUCCUACGGGAGGCAGCAGUAGGGAAUCUUCCGCAAUGGGCGAAAGCCUGACGGAGCAACGCCGCGUGAGUGAUGAAGGUCUUCGGAUCGUAAAACUCUGUUAUUAGGGAAGAACAUAUGUGUAAGUAACUGUGCACAUCUUGACGGUACCUAAUCAGAAAGCCACGGCUAACUACGUG